rnacentral:rRNA from 1 species
GGAUUAGAUACCCUGGUAGUCCACGCCGUAAACGCUGUCUACUAGCUGUUUGUUGUUUUAUAACGAUGAGUAGCGAAGCUAACGCGCUAAGUAGACCGCCUGGGGAGUACGGCCGCAAGGUUAAAACUCAAAUGAAUUGACGGGGGCCCGCACAAGCGGUGGAGCAUGUGGUUUAAUUCGAUGCAACGCGAAGAACCUUACCUACACUUGACAUGCAGAGAACUUUCCAGAGAUGGAUUGGUGCCUUCGGGAACUCUGACACAGGUGCUGCAUGGCUGUCGUCAGCUCGUGCCG